UAGUAACGGCGAGUGAAGCGGGAAGAGCUCAAGCUUAAAAUCUCCGUGCAAGUUUUGCAUGGCGAAUUGUAGUCUAUAGAAGCGUGGUCAGUGAGGGUACUCGGGGUAAGUUCCUUGGAAGAGGACAGCAUGGAGGGUGAAACUCCCGUUCAUCCCUGAGUGGCUCUUGCGUACGACCCGUUUUCUUUGAGUCGCGUUGUUUGGGAAUGCAGCGCAAAGUAGGUGGUAAAUUCCAUCUAAAGCUAAAUAUUGGUGCGAGACCGAUAGCGAACAAGUACCGUGAGGGAAAGAUGAAAAGAACUUUGAAAAGAGAGUUAAAGAGUACCUGAAACUGCUGAAAGGGAACCGAAUCGUUUCCAGUGUCUAUAAUCCGUGGCAUAUUUCAUUGGCGAGUGUGUGCGUGUGUGUGCUGUGGCAGUGGCUUUUAUUAGCUGCGCUCGGUGUGCGUGCUGUGUGUGCUUGCUGGUGCCCUGUGCUGUGGUGGGACGUCAAUGUCAGUUCGUAUGCUGCGGGAAAUGGCUGCCGAGGAGGUAGGGCUUACGCUUGCGUUUGUCUGUUAUAUCUUGGUGGACGAGUCGUCGCGGUUGGGACUGAGGUGCCUAUAACGUGCUUUUGAGUGUGUGUGGGUCUCCGUGUGCGCCGUGUGCGGAUAGCUUGCUAUGCGUGUGUGGUUGUGCGUGGAUUGAUGCGCGCUGUAGCUUGUCGCCGUUC
rnacentral:rRNA from 1 species